UGUCACCAUUAAUACUCUGAGGAACAUCAGAGAAGCUGGACAGACUCCACUCCCGGGAUCAUUUCUGUCUCACCUUCACAAGGACCUGGAUAAUUCCCAAGGUCUUGGGGCCUUUAACAUACAGCAUGAGGAGGAGAGGGACAGGAGAGGACGGGGGCCAGGAAGCCACAAGGGAGGGGCAGCCAGAUUCCAGCAAGAGGUCAUCCACACUUACCUAAGUGGCCGGGAAAAAAACCUACACCUGCGGUUCCAUGACCUGGACAUACUUGGGGCUUUCAGUGUCUUUGGACCUAAAUCGGCCGCUCUGCAAGAUGACUCUGCUAACAUCGACAAUCUGAGGAUUCUUGCCAGAAAAUUCUGGCCUGAGCAACAGAAUGAGGUCCUGCAGGAGUGGACUUCAUUUAAGAACCAUGUGAUUACUGGGGCAUUCAAGUUUUUUGAAGGACAGGAACCAGGCUGACAUCCUUACUCUGCUGGACGAAUGGGAUAAUGUCUACCCUUGCCUCAGCCUCCUCGCAGGCAUUGCCUUGGUGAUCCCCGUUUCAAGUGAUAAUUGUGAACGGGAUUUUUCUACUUUGAAUAGGGUGAAAACAGACCUGAGGAAUCAGCUGCAAGGAGAACACCUGGCGUAUUGCCUGAGAAUCUCCAUCAACGGACCCGACUCCAAGGACUUUCCUUACGAUAAGGCCUUACACUAUUUUUUUUGGAAGCCCCGAAAAAUUCAUUGCCCUAACAAAGGGUGCAAAGUCUGCAGGCAGUAGGAAAGACAUGGUUAAGUGUAGGGAGUAAAACUGAUGGCAGUCUAAAGUUCAAGAUUUUUUGGA